UGGAGGCCUUUGGAGUGGGCAGGGUUCCUUUGCCCCCGCGGGCGCCUGUGCCCGCAGGACGUACCGGCGACGGCUGCCGUCGGGGCAUCUUCAAGGCUGGGUAGAAUGGAGACCCCCGAAGAGUGGACUUCCACUGGCGCGGGGUGUGGACGGUGGCCUCUCCACUGCCCGCCACUGGGAACCCCUGAAGCCCCCCCAGGUGUCAGCAGUGACGUCCCUCAGAGGUGGCAGCUGGCUGGCAGCGAUGACAAGGACCAGCGGUGCAAACCUACCCUUAGUCCAAUGUUUCUGUCGCCAGGAACCCUCCCACUUCCCUUUCCUCCCGCCCUGGUAGCGACUAAUAAACCAUGUUCUCCAUACA